rnacentral:rRNA from 1 species
UGGGGAAUAUUGCACAAUGGGGGAAACCCUGAUGCAGCGACGCCGCGUGAGCGAAGAAGGCUUUCGAGUCGUAAAGCUCUGUCCUAUGAGAAGAUAAUGACGGUAUCAUAGGAGGAAGCCCUGGCUAAAUACGUGCCAGCAGCCGCGGUAAUACGUAUGGGGCGAGCGUUGUCCGGAAUUAUUGGGCGUAAAGGGUACGUAGGCGGUUUUUUAAGUCAGGUGUCAAAGCGUGGAGCUUAACUCCAUUAAGCACUUGAAACUGAAAGACUUGAGUGAAGGAGAGGAAAGUGGAAUUCCUAGUGUAGCGGUGAAAUGCGUAGAUAUCAGGAGGAACACCGGUGGCGAAGGCGGGUCUCUGGGCCGUUACUGACGCUGAGGAGCGAAAGCGUGGGGAGCGAACAGG